rnacentral:rRNA from 1 species
AACGAACGCUGGCGGCGCGCCUAAUACAUGCAAGUCGAGCGAGAAGGUGUAGCAAUACACUUGUAAAGCGGCGAACGGGUGAGGAAUGCAUGGGUAACCUACCCUCGAGUGGGGAAUAACUAGCCGAAAGGUUAGCUAAUACCGCAUACGUUUCCGGAACUUCGGUUUCGGAAAGAAAGCAAUACCGUGGGUAUUGCGCUCCUGGAUGGGCUCAUGUCCUAUCAGCUUGUUGGUGAGGUAACGGCUCACCAAGGCUUCGACGGGUAGCCGGCCUGAGAGGGUGACCGGCCACACUGGGACUGAGACACGGCCCAGACUCCUACGGGAGGCAGCAGUGGGGAAUAUUGCACAAUGGGCGCAAGCCUGAUGCAGCAACGCCGCGUGAGGGACGACGGCCUUGGGUGUAAACCUCUUUAGUAGGGAGAAGCGAAAGUGACGGUACCUGCAGAAAAAGCACCGGCUAACUACGUGCCAGCAGCCGCGGUAAU